rnacentral:lncRNA from 1 species
UUCUCAAGCUCUUCCCUAACUUGCUUUCGAAAAGCCAGCGCCCAAUAGAGCUUAGCCAUGUGUAGGCCGAAAUGGUCUCGCGAAGCCGGUCACCGUCUAAUCACUUGAGAUGCUGGGGGAACAUUGUUCACCGGGAUAGAAGGCUGGUCCCAACCCGUCUACCAAUGUCAUUUCAUGAAGAUGGACACUGGCUUGGGGGCGGGCGCCUAUCCGACAUAUAAUAGGUACAGCCGGUAUAAUAUAAUAUAUUCUUACUAUGAAGAAUCGUUCCACCCUAUUGUCAGCUCUACGGCUGAGAAAGUAUUCCCCGGUAAUCCGAAGAGUUAGGAAGAAAGUCUUCUUAUUGGGCAAACAAGGUACUCUUAUUUUUAAGAAAUCGAUGCCUUUCUUCUUUUCUUUUGAAAAAGCCGUAUUUUCAGUUCACUUCCCCUUUUCUCUGUUGGUCAACAACCAACCCCCUAGUAGAUAUAGAAAGAACCAUCCCAACAAAGCUAGAGGGUGGACCGAUGAUCCAACCCCAUACCGAGAUUCCUUUUGAUAAGUAUGUUACAAUUUCAUCUUUCGCUCGUUCCCUCAAGAGCUAGAUUUAAGGAAGUAGUUAUGUCAGCAAGCUCGAGGUCUAACCUCAUCCUAAAACUACUUCUCCAAGCCGUAGACGGAAGACCAAGAUUCUGAUAAUGAUACAUCCUUAGCUAUGGGAAGAAGUACGAUGCUUUUAGCCAAUUCUACCUCUUAGCGAGGGCUUGACAGAGUUCUCAUAGGGGAUUCCGGUAUAUCGUAUAAAAGAGAAAGGAUUCAUUUAGGAGCGCUCUUUUCAUCCAACUCGAAAUGUCGUAAGUAACAAUAGCGCAAAAGCCAUAGCACAGCUUAUU